GACGAACGCUGGCGGCGUGCUUAACACAUGCAAGUCGAACGGUAAGGCCCUUCGGGGUACACGAGUGGCGAACGGGUGAGUAACACGUGGGUGAUCUGCCCUGCACUUCGGGAUAAGCCUGGGAAGCUGGGUCUAAUACCGGAUAGGACCACUGCCGACAUGGGUGGGGGUGGAAAGCUUUUGCGGUGUGGGAUGGGCCCGCGGCCUAUCAGCUUGUUGGUGGGGUGAUGGCCUACCAAGGCGACGACGGGUAGCCGGCCUGAGAGGGUGACCGGCCACACUGGGACUGAGAUACGGCCCAGACUCCUACGGGAGGCAGCAGUGGGGAAUAUUGCACAAUGGGCGCAAGCCUGAUGCAGCGACGCCGCGUGAGGGAUGACGGCCUUCGGGUUGUAAACCUCUUUCAGCACCGACGAAGCGCAAGUGACGGUAGGUGCAGAAGAAGGACCGGCCAACUACGUGCCAGCCGCCGCGGUAACAC
rnacentral:rRNA from 1 species